AAUUUAUAGGCUAGAUACAAUUAACCAUUACUUAUUUAUACUUAAUUUAUCAAACUGUCUAUCAGUAGAAGUUGAAGAAGCUGGACCAAAUUGGGGGAGCAGAGAAAACUAUUAGCAGGAAAGACACAGAUUUCUCACUCCUUGAUUUCCGAGCUUCAUACGUGGAAAUGGAUGUCCAACUGUGGUGCUGGCUGUCAUCGUUCUUUCUACUGAAUUCCAAGGUUACCCUGUCCUAAAUCCUAUACAUGCAUUCCAAGAUCCCCUACGACUACGACACCUUUGAUCAUCCUCAGGUAAAAAGAAAGGAUGCAAUGUUGUACAUUAAUUAUUCUUGUACCAAUUAUCAAAAUCAGCAAUGCCAACAAAAGGUAGACUUAUUUAUGAAGGAUGUACUAAACAAUAGAAAAUUUAAAAUAUUGCAAGACGUGGUCAUAGAGCACGCCACUAUUCCUGAUAAGCCAUUGAGCCCUACAAGGAAGAUCUUUGAAGAACCGGGACCCUCAGAGUCAUUUAUGAAUCAACUUUUAUCAUUCAUUCAAUAUAAUUAUUAUGAAAAAUCGAUUGGUGGGCAGCUGGACACUUGA
rnacentral:lncRNA from 1 species